rnacentral:rRNA from 1 species
UUCGUCACACUAUCAUUAACUGAAUCCAUAGGUUAAUGAGGCGAACCGGGGGAACUGAAACAUCUAAGUACCCCGAGGAAAAGAAAUCAACCGAGAUUCCCCCAGUAGCGGCGAGCGAACGGGGAGCAGCCCAGAGCCUGAAUCAGUGUGUGUGUUAGUGGAAGCGUCUGGAAAGGCGCGCGAUACAGGGUGACAGCCCCGUACACAAAAAUGCACAUACUGUGAGCUCGAUGAGUAGGGCGGGACACGUGGUAUCCUGUCUGAAUAUGGGGGGACCAUCCUCCAAGGCUAAAUACUCCUGACUGACCGAUAGUGAACCAGUACCGUGAGGGAAAGGCGAAAAGAACCCCGGCGAGGGGAGUGAAAAAGAACCUGAAACCGUGUACGUACAAGCAGUGGGAGCACGCUUAGGCGUGUGACUGCGUACCUUUUGUAUAAUGGGUCAGCGACUUAUAUUCUGUAGCAAGGUUAACCGAAUAGGGGAGCCGAAGGGAAACCGAGUCUUAACUGGGCGUUAAGUUGCAGGGUAUAGACCCGAAACCCGGUGAUCUAGCCAUGGGCAGGUUGAAGGUUGGGUAACACUAACUGGAGGACCGAACCGACUAAUGUUGAAAAAUUAGCGGAUGACUUGUGGCUGGGGGUGAAAGGCCAAUCAAACCGGGAGAUAGCUGGUUCUCCCCGAAAGCUAUUUAGGUAGCGCCUCGUGAAUUCAUCUCCGGGGGUAGAGCACUGUUUCGGCAAGGGGGUCAUCCCGACUUACCAACCCGAUGCAAACUGCGAAUACCGGAGAAUGUUAUCACGGGAGACACACGGCGGGUGCUAACGUCCGUCGUGAAGAGGGAAACAACCCAGACCGCCAGCUAAGGUCCCAAAGUCAUGGUUAAGUGGGAAACGAUGUGGGAAGGCCCAGACAGCCAGGAUGUUGGCUUAGAAGCAGCCAUCAUUUAAAGAAAGCGUAAUAGCUCACUGGUCGAGUCGGCCUGCGCGGAAGAUGUAACGGGGCUAAACCAUGCACCGAAGCUGCGGCAGCGACGCUUAUGCGUUGUUGGGUAGGGGAGCGUUCUGUAAGCCUGCGAAGGUGUGCUGUGAGGCAUGCUGGAGGUAUCAGAAGUGCGAA